GAAUGAAGGAGACGGGAGGAGGAAGGUGAAAAGUAAAGUGACUCAUCACUUCUUGUUUCAACACUGCCUCCAUCUGAUGUACUGAUGCGGCGCAGCCGUCCUGGAUACACAAAGCCAAUCUUAGACUCAUUUAAGUUUCACCAGGCUGCUCGUGAGCGGAGAGAGUCGACUCCCGCCUGCGGGGAGGAGUGGAGCUGCUGGUUAUCAGCCCGGGCCACAUCUGACCAGAUCAAACAGAGUGGAGCCUGGUCUCAUCUCCUGUCCCCCUGCGAGUGUUUUAGUGGUCUGUUUCCCUUAUUGCUGCAGAUAAGAGGGUCAACAGUCACACAGCAGCGUCAGGCAAAAGUAAGCUGAGGCGAUUGAUAAGUAAGACUCGAGGCUGUGAUUAUCUUAAGUUGCCGUAUUCAAAGUAACUCCUGGAACAAGACAUUCCUGAUAUCUGAUAGAGUUCACUGCGAGCUGGUUCAUAAAUCAAGCAGAAGAUCUGAUCUGUCAACCUCCCAGGCUACCACCUACGGGCUCAAAGCCUUUGAGCGGCUGCUGCCCCGGGAUGAUCUACUGCCGAGGGACCCUGUUGAUCUGCAGUCAAAGCGCGUGCUGUGGUCCGAUCUCCUCUGGAUACACAGCAUGGAGGCAUCACGUAGAAAUGCUCACAGAGCCGCACCGGCUCUGAGGUUCCCUGCCCGACUGCCUGCUCUGUCCCUUCUGCCUGAUGCAGGUCUACAUCUGAGCCUCGCCUGGACCUCACCGCCUAUUCCUGCCUUCAGUGAACUGCGCUUGUGAACGCAUUGACCCCAUCCAAUCAACAAACACUGAGAAGAAGGAGAGUAAAAAAGUAUGUGCGAGGAAAUCCUGCCCAGCAUAUCAAAGCAUAACUCCUGUACCCUUUUGGUUGGCCCAGCUCAAAUUAAAAAAGCAUAAAAUGGCUUGAAAACAACUGAUCACACAUGUUUUGAAUAUGCUGAAUUUUAAUUGAUGAUAAAUUGUGCUUUUGAAGACCCCUGCCCACGCA